rnacentral:rRNA from 1 species
AGAGUUUGAUCCUGGCUCAGGACGAACGCUGGCGGCGUGCCUAAUACAUGCAAGUCGAGCGAAGUUUUUCUGGUGCUUGCACUAGAAAAACUUAGCGGCGAACGGGUGAGUAACACGUAAAGAACCUGCCUCAUAGACGGGGACAACUAUUGGAAACGAUAGCUAAUACCGGAUAACAGCAUAAAUCGCAUGAUAUAUGUUUAAAAGUUGGUUUCGGCUAACACUAUGAGAUGGCUUUGCGGUGCAUUAGCUAGUUGGUGGGGUAAAGGCCUACCAAGGCGACGAUGCAUAGCCGACCUGAGAGGGUGAUCGGCCACACUGGGACUGAGACACGGCCCAGACUCCUACGGGAGGCAGCAGUAGGGAAUCUUCCGCAAUGGGCGAAAGCCUGACGGAGCAACGCCGCGUGAGUGAAGAAGGAUUUCGGUUCGUAAAGCUCUGUUGUUAGGGAAGAAUGAUUGUAUAGUAACUAUAUACAGUAGAGACGGUACCUAACCAGAAAGCCACGGCUAACUACGUGCCAGCAGCCGCGGUAAUACGUAGGUGGCAAGCGUUGUCCGGAUUUAUUGGGCGUAAAGCGAGCGCAGGCGGUUCCUUAAGUCUGAUGUGAAAGCCCCCGGCUCAACCGGGGAGGGUCAUUGGAAACUGGGGAACUUGAGUGCAGAAGAGGAGAGUGGAAUUCCAUGUGUAGCGGUGAAAUGCGUAGAUAUAUGGAGGAACACCGGUGGCGAAAGCGGCUCUCUGGUCUGUAACUGACGCUGAGGCUCGAAAGCGUGGGGAGCGAACAGGAUUAGAUACCCUGGUAGUCCACGCCGUAAACG